CUUCUGCGCACCGAUGCUCAGCUUUCACAGGCGAGGAGGCGAGCGGGAGGAGCCAAGAGAGGAGCGGAGACAUGGAUCCUUCCUGCUAAUAAUGACCAACCAGAAGCCCUCAAGGCUGCUCUUUCAACCAAUCCCCAUCAGAGUCAGAAGAAAGGGCUGUAAUUACUUUGAUCAGAUCUUCCCCGCAAUUGCAAAUGUUAAUAGGGCAAGCAGAUCAAACCUGUCCAAUUACGACACUCAUUACACUCACGUGGAAAUACGUGCUACUCACGACCUUUAGCUCGUGGAGGGGGGGGCUCCUGUGUGUGUGUUCAUGCAUACCACAGCUGUUUUUCUAACUCUUCCUGACAGAAGAAUAUGAUCUGAUAAGCGCUGACAUGUUUUUCCUCCUGAGACCUUUUAUUUCACACCCGCCGCCUCCCCUUAACACUUCCCUCAUUGUUCCUAUUGAUUGCUCAGCGCCGGCGAAAAGAAGCCGCAACACACUCGCGUAUGCUUGUACGGCGUAUUGAGUGAGCGAGCAUUUGGCAGCCAAUAGCGCCAUGGCCGUGUGACACUUUAUCGGCCAGUGACAAGUCAAGUGCCAUUACCCCCCCCCGCCCCAAAAAGAAGAUUCAUUAAAUCUCACCUCUUCUGCUGGAUUUCAUGGUAGUGGGUCCGCUUUUGCAGCCUCCACGCCUCCCUCUCCUGGGAUCGAGAGUCGUAGUUGUAGUAGUGCAACAGGAAGGGCCACACCUCGCCACGGAUGGACGGGUCGAUACCACCGAAGAAGAUGGCCUGGUUAAAAGACAAAGUGAGCAAGUCAAACAAGACAAGAAAGCUGCAUUGUCCUAUAGGUCAAUAGACCAAAGUGUAAUGAUAACCAUAGAGCUCGGAAAGGAACUUGGCACAAAGUACCAUUACAGAGGCUUCAUUAACCACAGAACAGACACUGCAAAGCCAACUUCGAGACUCCAGCAAACCACAGUGAGAGCCAUUAUCCACAACAUGGACCAGCGGUGAAUCAUCCAAGGAGUAGCCGGCCAACCAAAAUGACCCCAAGCGCGCAAGGACGACUCAUCCAGGAGGUCACAAAAGACCCCACAACAACAUCCAAAGAACUGCAGGCCUCAUUUGCCUCAGUGUUCAGGAUUCCACCGUAAGAAAGACAUUGAAAACAAGUGUGAAUAUGCAAAAAUAGCCGUUUUAUUGGGCCAAUGGUUUUGAUUUGUAGUUUGUGUGUUUUGAGUGCAAAGUUUCCUUGUCACGCCUCAUUGGCCCGUAGUAAAGAAUUGUUGAUACCACACACACGUCUCCCAGCAUGGACCACUCCUUAAUAAUAAUGGUGGCAUGUCUCAAAAGGGAGUGGCUAUUGAGCAUUACUAUAUCUACCAUUAGGAUGGCAUAUAAAAGACAUGGCAUCAUUCAUUCAAUGCUUCACCAUGCAGCGACCGUACUGUGCACUAUUGGCCAAUGAGGCGUGACGUGGAAACUUUACACUCAAAACACACAAACUAUAAAACCAAACCCCAUGGCCCUAAAAACAGCCACAAUAUUUUUUUUUAAAGUCCUUCAGUCCUCACACACACACACACACACACACACACACACAGCUAAUACUACACAGCUUGUGGACAGUUACCAUGGUACCCAUUAUGUCAUUGUAUGGUCAUAUCACCUCGUACUUUGGUACGUGACAAAAAAUAAAAAAUACAAAUACAAACAAAAAAAAAUUAUCUUAGGAAAGCAGGAAGUGAACAAAUGCAACGUUACUGAUUGUUACUGAUUGUAAAAGUACCAGAUGGGGGGGUAGGAUUUAAUAAGCUUUGCUUCUUCCUACUCCUUUUGGACAUGUGGAACUGUGAACUGAUUAUGUGAUGCAUUCAAUUGUAAUCUGAUGCAUGUUCAAAUGAAAUUAAACCAUUACCAUUACUAGUCAUAUAUUAGUGUGCUAGAGUCCCCACCCAAUGCUCCACCACUGUUAACAUCAUGAAUAGGAUGAGUAGCUUUAUAAGAAGUUUAUUGUAGUAUUAUUUUGGUAGCACUUGUAAAGCAGUUAAAACAUCAUUUGACUUUGUCAACUGUUUCACAAAUAUAAUUUCCAUUAAUUAUGUGUAUUAAAUUGUUUGACCACUAAUAAACUGACUGUUGACUGUUUGAUUCUUAAGCUUCCACUGCAUCAAAACUGUAUAUCCAAUUUAAAUGCAAAGUGCUGCAAAAGUGAAAGUCCAAAAAGCUGCA